UACGGGGGGAGCAAGCGUUGUUCGGAUUUACUGGGCGUAAAGGGCGCGUAGGCGGCACCGCAAGUCGACUGUGAAAUCUCCGGGCUUAACUCGGAAAGGUCAGCCGAUACUGCGGGGCUAGAGUGCAGAAGGGGCAACUGGAAUUCUCGGUGUAGCGGUGAAAUGCGUAGGUAUCGAGAGGAACACCUGCGGCGAAGGCGGGUUGCUGGGCUGACACUGACGCUGAUGCGCGAAAGCUAGGGGAGCGAACGGG
rnacentral:rRNA from 1 species